CGUGACACGCCCCAUCUAGAUGUUACAAAUGCGUAGCAUCGAUGACAUGACAUGAGAGCAGAAACUAGAAACAUGAGAGCUGGAACUUUGGUUUUGGUCUCAACUCAUGGAAAUCAGACUUUUCUAUAGCAAAUACGGCCUCUCGUACCCCAUGUGCAUUCAAUCGCCAUCUUCCUCGUAAUUUUACCAACUACGGUAGUUUUUCUCCGACCACAAGAAGUAAGGCAGUAAACUUUUCAUGAACCAAAAUUUGAGGAAAACCAGCCCUUAGACCUUAGUUCUAGUCUUCUAGACCAUAAGAAUAAACAUAACAACCGCUUCACUAUAUUAUGUGUGUGGGGGUGUCUAUAUAUAUAUAUAUAUAAGGGUAAGUGAGUGACAAAACGUACCUGGUAAGCAGCUGACGACAGGCCUGAGCUCGAACAAGCAGCAGUUAAAUUCACAAAAUAAUAUAUGCUUUGCUCACAUUUCCUUUCCAUUAGCUAAAAUAUUGAGUCGUCGUACCCAGUGCACAAGGCUCCCGCUUUACGCAGGGUCUGGGAGAGGUGAAUGUCGGCUAGCCUUACCCCCAUAAAAUAAAAAC
rnacentral:sRNA from 1 species